UACGGAGGGUGCAAGCGUUGUCCGGAAUCACUGGGCGUAAAGGGCGCGUAGGCGGCUCAUGAAGGCUGUGGUGAAAGUCCGGGGCUCAACCUCGGAUCGGCCGUGGCGACUCGUGGGCUGGAGCACUGUAGAGGCGGGUGGAAUUCCGGGUGUAGCGGUGGAAUGCGUAGAGAUCCGGAAGAACACCAGUGGCGAAGGCGGCCCGCUGGGCAGUGGCUGACGCUGAGGAGCGAAAGCUAGGGGAGCAAACAGGG
rnacentral:rRNA from 1 species